UACAGAGGGUGCAAACGUUGCUCGGAAUCAUUGGGCGUAAAGCGCACGUAGGCGGCCUAGCAAGUAGGGAGUGAAAGCCCUCGGCUUAACCGAGGAAGUGCUUUCUAAACUACUAGGCUUGAAUACUGGAGAGGGUCGCGGAAUUCCCGGUGUAGAGGUGAAAUUCGUAGAUAUCGGGAGGAACACCAGUGGCGAAGGCGGCGACCUGGACAGAUAUUGACGCUGAGGAGCGAAAGCGUGGGGAGCGAACAGG
rnacentral:rRNA from 1 species